UAGGGGGCAAGCGUUGUCCGGAAUGAUUGGGCGUAAAGGGCGCGUAGGCGGCCUUUUAAGUCUGAAGUGAAAGUCCUGCUUUUAAGGUGGGAACUGCUUUGGAUACUGGAAGGCUUGAGUGCAGGAGAGGUAAGCGGAAUUCCCGGUGUAGCGGUGAAAUGCGUAGAGAUCGGGAGGAACACCAGUGGCGAAGGCGGCUUACUGGACUGUUACUGACGCUGAGGCGCGAAAGUGUGGGGAGCAAA
rnacentral:rRNA from 1 species